CCUACGGGACGCAGCAGUGGGGGAUAUUGCACAAUGGGGGCAACCCUGAUGCAGCGACGCCGCGUGAGCGAUGGAGUACUUCGGUAUGUAAAGCUCUGUCAGCAGGGAAGAGAAUGACGGUACCUGACCAAGAAGCCCCGGCUAAAUACGAACCAGCAGCCGCGGUAAUACGUGUAGCGCAAGCGUUAUCCGGAUUUACUGGGUGUAAAGGGAUCGUAGGCGGCAGAGCAAGCCUGAUGUGAAAGCCCGG
rnacentral:rRNA from 1 species